AAGCGCUUGCAACCAGACUUGCGCGCGACGGUUCCCCCUUCCUUCUGGUUGGGCUACUCCGUCGUGUCCAGGCCAACAUCGGUUCUGGGGGUCGGUUAAAGGCUCGGGGAAUGUAUCUACCCUCCGGGCGUAGACUUAUAGCC
rnacentral:rRNA from 1 species